rnacentral:rRNA from 1 species
CCUCUCUAUUCGUCGGCAGCGUCAGAUGUGUAUAAGAGACAGACCCUAAACCGACACCGGUGAACGAGUCGAGUAGACUCAGGCGUUGAGAGAACCAUAUUGAAGGAACUCGGCAAAUUUUUCCUGUACCUUUGGAAGAAAGGAAGCCAAUUUUGGUGACACAAAAAUGGGGGUGACGACUUUUUACUAAAAAAUUAGGACUCUGCUAAAUGGUAACAUGACGUAUAGGGUCUGACGUCUGCCCGGUGCUAGAAGUAUAAAAGGAGUGUUGAAAGAUACGAAUGGAAAGCCUAGUAAACGGCGGUUGUAACUAUAACAAUCAUAAAGUAGCGAAAUUCAUUGCCAGCUAAUUCCUGGCCUGCAUGAAAGACGUAACGAUUGCCCCACUGUCUCCAGUGUGGACUCAGUGAAAUUGAAUUCUCCGUGCAGAUGCGGAGUACGUGCCCCAAGACGAGAAGACCCUGUGCAUCUUUACUGUACAUUUACAUUGACAAAACCAUACGUAUGUGUAGGAUAGGUGGGAGUACAAACAUCCUUGAAAUACCACCCUUACUAUGUUUUUUGUCUAACAUCGGAGAUAGACAAUGUAUGUGAGGCAGUUUGACUGGGGCGGUCGCCUCCUAAAGAGUAACGGAGGCGUGCGAAGGUAAACUCAAUGUAGAUCGGAAACCUACUGAAGAGCGUAAUGGUAUAUGUUUGCCUGACUGCAAGAUUUACAGAUCGAGCAGAGACGAAAGUCGGUCAUAAUGAUCCACAAGUACUGCGUGGAAAGGCUUGUGCUUAACGAAUCAAAGAUACGCCAGGGAUAACAGGCUGAUAAUUCCCUAGAGUCCAUAUCGACGGAAUUGUUUGGCACCUCGAUGUUGACUGAUCAUAUCCUGGGGCUGAAGAAGGUCCCAAGGGUUCGGCUGUUCGCCGAGUAACAUGGUACCUGAGUUGAGUUUAGAACGUCGUGAGACAGUUUGGAUUCUACCUGGGGUGCGCGUAAGAAUUGAGAAAACCACAUCCUUGUACGAGAGGACCGGAUGUGUACAACCUCUGGUAUAGUAAUUGUCCGGCCACGGGCAUGGUUACUACGCUACGUUGUGAAAGGAUAAGUACUGAAAGCAUAUCAAGUACGAAACUUUUUUCAAGACAUAUUCUUUAUCGUAUUGUAUAUCGUACAAGUUGAGUACGUUAAUAGAUAAGCUGUGUAUUAUUUGUAAAAAUAGAAGCAUCCUUAUACUAAACUAUACAUUUUUUUUUCUGU